rnacentral:rRNA from 1 species
CCAGAGAACUUAGCAGAGAUGCUUUGGUGCCCUUCGGGAACUCUGAGACAGGUGCUGCAUGGCUGUCGUCAGCUCGUGUUGUGAAAUGUUGGGUUAAGUCCCGCAACGAGCGCAACCCUUAUCCUUUGUUGCCAGCGGUCCGGCCGGGAACUCAAAGGAGACUGCCAGUGAUAAACUGGAGGAAGGUGGGGAUGACGUCAAGUCAUCAUGGCCCUUACGAGUAGGGCUACACACGUGCUACAAUGGCGCAUACAAAGAGAAGCGACCUCGCGAGAGCAAGCGGACCUCAUAAAGUGCGUCGUAGUCCGGAUUGGAGUCUGCAACUCGACUCCAUGAAGUCGGAAUCGCUAGUAAUCGUAGAUCAGAAUGCUACGGUGAAUACGUUCCCGGGCCUUGUACACACCGCCCGUCACACCAUGGGAAUGGGUUGCAAAAGAAGUAGGUAGCUUAACCUUCGGGAGGGCGCUUACCACUUUGUGAUUCAUGACUGGGGUGAAGUCGUAACAAGGUAAGCGUACGUGU